rnacentral:rRNA from 1 species
UCUGGUUGAUCCUGCCAGUAAUAUAUGCUUGUCUCAAAGAUUAAUCCAUGCAUGUCUAAGUAUAAAUAGUAUACCUUAAAACUGCAAAUGGCUCAUUAAAACAGUUAUAGUUUAUUUGAUAAUUAAAUGUUAUAUGGAUAACCGUGGUAAUUCUAGAGUUGAUAUAUGCUGAUAACCCGGCGCAAGUCGCGGUUGUAUUUAUUAGAUAUUAAACCAAUAUGUUAAUAGCAUUUUGAAGGAAUUACAGUAACUGAUCGAAUCCUUGCUUGUCGAGGAUAAAUCAUUUAAGUUUCUGCCCUAUCAGCUUUCGAUGGUAGUGUAUUGGACUACCAUGGCGAUUACGGGUAACGGAGAAUUAGUGUUCGAUUCCGGAGAGGGAGCCUGAGAAACGGCUACCACAUCUAAGGAAGGCAGCAGGAGCGUAAAUUACCCAAUGUCGACUCGAUGAGCGUAGUGACAAUACAUAACAAAGAGGGGAUUUUUUAUCUUACUCUAUUGCAAUGAGGCAUGUUUAAUAACCUGUUCGAGCAACCAGUGAAGGGCAAGUCUGGUGCCAGCAGCCGCGGUAAUUCCAGCUUCACGAGUGUAUAUUUAAGUUGUUGCAGUUAAAAAGCUCGUAGUUGAACUUCUGUUUGUUCAGGAGGCGUGCAAGUGCAGCCUGGGCGAACAUCCGCCUGAAAAAUCAUUCGGGUCUUCAUUGAUUCAGUGAUGGAUCAGGCAUUUUACUUUGAAAAAAUUAGAGUGUUUAAAGCAGGCUUUCGCCUGAAUACAUUAGCAUGGAAUAAUAGAAUAGGACGCUGUUCAAUUUGUUGGUUAUUGAAUUGCGUAAUGAUUAAUGGGGACAGUUGGGGGCAUUUGUAUUUAAUUGUCAGAGGUGAAAUUUUUGGAUUUAUUAAAGACAAACUUAUGCGAAAGCAUUUGCCAAGGAUGUUUUCAUUAAUCAAGAACGAAAGUUAGAGGAUCAAAGACGAUCAGAUACCGUCCUAGUUUUAACUAUAAACUAUGCCGACUCGGUCUCAGUCAAGUCUUCCUAACUUGAUUGGUGCCGUAUGAGAAAUCAAAGUCUUUGGGUUCCGGGGGGAGUAUGGUUGCAAGGUUGAAACUUAAAGGAAUAGACGGAACAUCACUACCAGGUGUGGAUCCUGCGGCUUAAUUUGACCCAACACGGGGAAACUUACCAGCGCAAAACAAGGGUGGGAUUGACAGAUUGAGAGCUCUUUCUUGAUUCUUUGGAUAGUGGUGCAUGGCC